ACCUGACUGCUAUCGGAUUGAUACUAAGCCAUGCGAGUCAUUGUAGCAAUACAAGGCAGACGGCUCAGUAACGCGUAGUCAACCUAACCUAUGGACGGGAAUAACCUCGGGAAACUGAGAAUAAUGCCCGAUAGAACACUAUACCUGGAAUGGUUUGUGUUCCAAAUGAUUUAUCGCCGUAGGAUGGGACUGCGGCCUAUCAGUUUGUUGGUGAGGUAAUGGCCCACCAAGACUAUUACAGGUACGGGCUCUGAGAGGAGUAGCCCGGAGAUGGGUACUGAGACACGGACCCAGGCCCUAUGGGGCGCAGCAGGCGAGAAAACUUUGCAAUGUGCGAAAGCACGACAAGGUUAAUCCGAGUGGUUUGUGCUAAACAGAUCUUUUGUUAGUCCUAGAAACACUAACGAAUAAGGGGUGGGCAAGUUCUGGUGUCAGCCGCCGCGGUAAAACCAGCACCUCAAGUGGUCAGGAUGAUUAUUGGGCCUAAAGCAUCCGUAGCCGGCUCUGUAAGUUUUCGGUUAAAUCUGUAUGCUCAACAUACAGGCUGCCGGGAAUACUGCAGAGCUAGGGAGUGGGAGAGGUAGACGGUACUCGGUAGGAAGGGGUAAAAUCCUUUGAUCUAUUGAUGACCACCUGUGGCGAAGGCGGUCUACCAGAACACGUCCGACGGUGAGGGAUGAAAGCUGGGGGAGCAAACCGGAUUAGAUACCCGGGUAGUCCCAGCUGUAAACUAUGCAAACUCAGUGAUGCAUUGGCUUGUGGCCAAUGCAGUGCUGCAGGGAAGCCGUUAAGUUUGCCGCCUGGGAAGUACGUACGCAAGUAUGAAACUUAAAGGAAUUGGCGGGGGAGCACCACAAGGGGUGAAGCCUGCGGUUC
rnacentral:rRNA from 2 species